UCCCAUAUUGUCUAGUGGUUAGGAUACCUGGCUCUCACCCAGGAGGCCCGGGUUCAAUUCCCGGUAUUGGAA
rnacentral:tRNA from 1 species